rnacentral:lncRNA from 1 species
ACUUUCAGGGGAUGAGGACACAGCACUGAACAAGACUCCACACCUUUCCUCGUGGAGAUUAUCUCGUGGAGCCAGACAACAAAGGAAGUAAAAUACGUCACAUGUCAGAUGGUGAUCUUACUCAGAACUUCCUGGCUUCAGCAAGACUGGCCUGUGACGUGAGUGAAGAGAAAUGGAUGAGACGCUCCCUGAUAGAAACAAGGCUCUCUGGACACGGUCUCUCCAGUUGGACUGAGCCACACGGGGUUUUGAGUAUGCUUUUUAUCUCACCAUGAAAGAUGUUUGAGAAAUGCUGAGCAAGGCUGGCCAUUGCAUUUGCAGCAUAUCAGGGGCUGGUUACGACAGACGCUGGGUAGGAGAAAGAUAUGCGGACCUGGACACCAUCAGUGAUCCUCUCUAGCCUGCAGAUAGGGAAUAGAACACUAUUUUACUACUCGAAGUAUGUCCAUGGACCAGGAGCUGGAAGAAGUGUAGACUCUCAGACCCCACCCUGGAUCCGCUGAAGCAGCUUUUGCCCUUUUGACACAAUUCCCAGGUCUUUCCUUCCCUUUGGCUGUUGAAACAUGACUCCUGGGGGCCGGUGGGAAAAAGAGUUGAAGGUGGACUGUCCUCUCAUUAGCUGUCCAGGAGGAUGAAUAAAAAAAUAGAAGUUCCUGGCUUUUCCACUGAGUCAGCAAGAAUGCUUUUGAUUUUUCGUUUAGGUUGACUGAUAACGGGCCUAGAGAGGGAGAAGAUCCAGAAUGCUUGGAGAAGGAUUAGCCCUACAGAUUCAACUUCGGAAUUCCCAGGAUAUACACAGAGCUCACUGGAACAUCUGACUAGUGCGGAGGUGAAAAUUAAGGGCAUCACGCUGAUGUCAGGCGACGGGAGGCAGGUGAAGGACAGCCGGACGGGAAGGGCUGCAGAGACUUGGGCGAGCGAGCCUCCCUCAGCAGGUCAGCGACAGACCUGCUCGCCAAAGGUCUGUUUGGAACCACAAGCCCAAUUAAUCUCCUGCUUCUCAUCCCUGGCAGACCUGGCCACCGCCCAAAACGCGAGCCCUCUGGACAGACACGCUUCCUUGCUUGUCCUCAUUCCCAUGCUGUUUUGUGCAUUUUUCGCCCCUGAUCCAUCCUCCCACUGUGGUGCCUUCUGCCAGCCCUGCCAGCCUGCCCUCUGCCAGCCCCGUCCAGCGGUACACGCCCCGCCCCCUCUCACACUUGUUUGUCACGGAAUGUUCCCUCCCGCUUCCUCACCUUAACUGAAGCCCAGCUCUGGCCCAAGGACAGGGGUUUCCCAGAGAGCAGGUUCUUUCUCCCCCAAAGACCAAAGAGUUGCUGGGGAGACCCCCCCCCCCCCCCCCCCCCCCCNACAUAUUGCAAUGGGAUAGCACUUGGGGUAUAUUGGGUACAACGAAUUAUCAGCAUUAAUUUCACCACUUUUUGUUUCUUCAGUGUGGCUACUGGAAAAUUCUAAAGGCCACAGAUGUCUCCUAUUUGUUGUAUCUCCUACUUCUCUAUUCCUAUUGACUAGCACUGCUCUGUGACCAUCAAGACCUGUGUGGAUCUCAGACUCUGGGCUCUAAAUCUUCUUUCAGCUCCGAUACAGGCUCAGGCUGCUUUUUAAUUAAAAAUACUUAAACUGCUUUUUUUUACAUAUUACAAAGUAAAACAUUUCCAUUAUAAAAUAUUAGAAAAUGCACGUUAUAAAACAUGAACAAAAAAGAACAGAAGCCCAUACAUAUGUAUAAAAGGACAUAUUACUUUUUGGUAAUUUUUUUACACUUUCCAGAUGUGUUAUAAACAUCUCCCCGUGUCCUUACAUAUUCUUCUAUGAGAAUUUUAAAAAAAUGGUUGCCUAGUAUUUUCUUGUAAGGGUAUACCGUAAAUUAUUUUGCCAGUGUUUGUUGAUUGAGCAGUAUUUUUGAACUUUUCUAUUGUAAAUGUAGCAGAAUGACUGCUAAGAGGGAACUUAAAGUGGUUUUGGGGAGAGUCACCCUUUUUUCUAGCUUCAAAGGAGCAAGUCAGUCACAGAGGAGCCCACCCGCUUAUUUCUCAUCACGCAAUUGUCACAUAAUUUUUAGACAUAGAAUAUUCUGGGACAACCCAGAAGCGAGUGUUGUAAACCAAAGGAAACUGUUUCAGACUCAGGGUAAGUACUUCUAAAUUGGAUAACUACUGUCUUCUUUGGAGAUGGACUUUCAGGGGGUGAGAGUCUGGGUCUUUUCGUAGUGAGGUCAGCCCCUCUGCGCCCCCCGUGGAUCACUGCUGGGAGCCCAGCCCCCCUCCAUGGGCUUGAAGUCCUGGUGGCUGAGGAGGGAGACAGGUCUCAGCUCAGGGAGCCGGAUGAGGGAGAGAGCAGAUGUCCAGCCGACAGAUGUCCAGCAGGGAUUGUGGAGCAUGUGGACUGUCCUUAGAGAACCCCAGGGACACUUAGGGGCCACUCCAAAGCAGGCACUGUGGUCCUGCUGCUACCCAGAGAGAGACAGUCACCACUGACUCUCUGGACUAAAAAUGGCUGAGAUUUCAGCAGUGCUCGUCUGCUCCCAUCAGAGGGUGAAGUCAAGUCACUCGGGGAAACUUUCAAAGCUAAAGCUAUUCCUAAGCAGAAAGGGUGUCAAUGAUUUAACUAUACACGUAUCCAUGAAGACACAUAAUGUAACCACAAUUAAAUCAGAAUUUCCAGAGUCCGUACUUUCCAAUUCCAGGACUGUGUAAGAAGGGGUGUGCCUGGUUGUCUUCAGUGGAGACUUUCUAGGGUUCACAGUGUUUACUGCUGAAGUUCCAAGGCAGGUGAAAGCAGGAGUCAGACUGCCUGGGUUUGAAUCCAGAUCCACUGCUGGUGACUGUGGACAUGUUACUUAAUCUCUCUUAACUUCUUCCUGUGUUCAUCGUUGCCUUGUCGCGUUUGUACUCGUGGGGCCCCCACCUGGAACGCUCUCCAUCUCCACGUGGCUGACUCCACAUCAUCCGUGUCUCAGCUCAAUGGCACCUCUUCAAGCAGCCUCCUCUGAAGACCCAAUCUCUUCAGCUCGCCUGGCAUUUCGAAUUGCAUCCUCUUGUUUUAUUUUCUCUGCAGUUCAUUUAUUUGAUUUCACAUCAUGGUCUGUCUCCCUGUGCCGGGGUGUAAUCUCCCGAGGGCCGGCAGCUUUCGUGUCUUGUUCAACACCAACCCUCCAUGUCCAGAACUGAACCUGACACACGCUAGGGACUCAAGAAGUAUUGGUAGGAUCAGUGAAAGAAAGAUGGAGCGAAUGGUCUUGAUAAUGACCAUAUUCAAAGAAAGAUCAAGUCCCACCCAGAGUUAAAAAGUGCCUUGAUGGAAGAAAGCACUUUGGUUUGAGCAACGAACAAUGGAAUUUGGAAUCAACAGGCUCUGAGGGCCUGCCCAUCUCUGAGUCAAUUUUCUUUAUCCUGAAAGAUCCUGGUUUGAAGGGCAUUUUCCCCGGAUGCAUGGAGUCCUAAAAAACUCAAAGGGGGUGACAGUUCGAGGAACAUAAAAGAACAAUGAUGAGCUUAGACGAGCAAGGCAAGGGCAGACUGUGGCGAAAACAAUUACUGAUGCGCCCUGUACAGCACGUGGAGGAAAAGGUUGCUUCUCCUUCCUCCACCUGUGUCUGAAGCCAUGUACCUUGUGAGUCACUUGUGAAAUGCUGCUCUCUCUCAGGAGCUUCCAGUCCUCUGCCUCCUGAUGCAGUCAGGCCUUUCCCUCUGAAAUUCAAUUAAAUCAGCCCUAAUGAGUGGCUAGGCAGAAAGGGAGCUCUUGUUUACAGAACACAAGGAAUAAUAACGAGCCAACAUCAAUUAGGACUGUGACUGCAAAUCCGAAACAUUGAUUCUGCACCUCAACAGUGAGCAAAUUUCUGCUUUCAGACACCAAGUCUCGCAGGCUUGAGAAAGACAGAGCCUCGUGGGCUGUCUCUACGGCCGUGAUGUUCCAGAGAAAUCCCACUAAAAUUUUCCUUUGUCCUCCUGGCCUGUGGCAGUUCUGCCCAUCCCCCUUGACUGUUUUUCUGGCUGUUGCUCCUAUUGAGUUUUCUGAAUAAACACAGGCCACCAAGUUUUAACCGCAAUGAUAAAA